GUUCACCCCAGAUAGUAGCGGCAUCUCCCGAUUUUUCUUCGGGAAUAUAGCGGAUAGCUGGAAUAGGU
rnacentral:sRNA from 1 species